rnacentral:siRNA from 1 species
UCUACUAACCAUUCGUUCAUCUUC